AUGUUGUAUGAAAAGAGAAACAGUGAGCACACCCUUUGACGCGGAUGGGAAGAGGCCCACAGGCCUGGCAACGCGCAGAUGAUUAAGGAAUUGCCACCUACUUUGAAGCAUCGAACCAUCAUUUUUA